GCUGGGUGCGGUGGCGUGUGCCUGUAGUCCCAGCUACUUGGGAGGCUGAGGCUGGAGGAUCACUUGAGUCCACGAGUUCUGGGCUGUCAUGCGCUAUGAUGAUCAGGUAUCUGCAUUAACUUCGGCAUCAAUAUGGUGACCUCCAGGGAGUGGGAGACCACCAGGUUGCCUAAGGGCCGGUGAACUGGCCCAGGUCGGAAAUGGAGAGGUCAAAACUCCCAUGCUGAUCAGUAGUGGGAUUGUGCCUGUGAACAGCCACUGCACUCCAGCCUGGGCAACAUAGUGAGACCCCGCCUCUU
ensembl:misc_RNA Metazoa_SRP Metazoan signal recognition particle RNA